UACGUAGGGUGCGAGCGUUGUCCGGAAUUAUUGGGCGUAAAGAGCUUGUAGGCGGUUUGUCGCGUCUGCUGUGAAAAUCCGGGGCUCAACCCCGGACUUGCAGUGGGUACGGGCAGACUAGAGUGUGGUAGGGGAGACUGGAAUUCCUGGUGUAGCGGUGGAAUGCGUAGAUAUCAAGAGGAACACCUGCGGCGAAGGCGGGUUGCUGGGCCGACACUGACGCUGAGGCGCGAAAGCCAGGGGAGCGAACGGG
rnacentral:rRNA from 1 species